rnacentral:rRNA from 1 species
CCUACGGGUGGCAGCAGUGGGGGAUAUUGCACAAUGGGGGGAACCCUGAUGCAGCGACGCCGCGUGGGUGAAGGAGCGUUUCGGCGCGUAAAGCCCUAUCGGCAGGGAAGAAGAUGACGGUACCUGACCAAGAAGCCCCGGCUAACUACGUGCCAGCAGCCGCGGUAAUACGUAGGGGGCAAGCGUUAUCCGGAUUUACUGGGUGUAAAGGGAGCGUAGACGGAGAAGCAAGUCUGAAGUGAAAGCCCGUGGCUUAACCACGGGACUGCUUUGGAAACUGUUUGACUAGAGUGCUGGAGAGGUAAGUGGAAUUCCUAGUGUAGCGGUGAAAUGCGUAGAUAUUAGGAGGAACACCAGUGGCGAAGGCGGCUUACUGGACAGUAACUGACGUUGAGGCUCGAAAGCGUGGGGAGCAAACAGGAUUAGAUACCCUUGUAGUC